GCGGACGGGUGUUUCACGCGUAAGUAAAAAACCUCGGGUGGGGGACAACCACGGGAAACUGUGGCUAAUACCCCCCGAUGACUGAAGUCCAAAGGCGCAAGUCGCCUGGGGAGGAGCCUGCGUCCGAUUAGCUUGUUGGUGGGGUAAAGGCCUACCAAGGCUCCGAUCGGUAGCUGGUCUGAGAGGAUGAUCAGCCACACUGGGACUGAGACACGGCCCAGACUCCUACGGGAGGCAGCAGUGGG
rnacentral:rRNA from 1 species